rnacentral:lncRNA from 1 species
CUGUGAGCAGAGAUGAAAUUGGUUUUGAUGGUCAGUUUCUUGUUAAUAGCAACCAAAACAUAUAGAUGCAACUUGCUAUAGGACAUUUAACUAAUUAAAAAAAAAAAAAAUUGUUAAUUUCUGACCCCCCCAAAACAAAACAAACAAACAUUACUGUUGGGCAUUUCCAUUAACAUAUUUUAUGGACUAUAAAGUGCAACAUAUUAUAAGGUACACUAUCAACAAAGGUCUAUUUUCUGGUUUCUGGUCCUACAUAAAGUGCACCAGAUUAUAAGGUGCCCAAGUAAACAAAACACUAAUUCUAAAAAAAAAAAAAAAACAACAUUUUAUUUUAGUCAAACAAACACUGGAUGUUAAUCUACACAGAUUUCUGUCCCAAAACUGUUUGUUUGGUCAUACACACAGUAACUAGUGUCACUAGCAAUGCUAACCUGGGAAGAUGCUAACAACAUUAGCUUAUAUGUGAAGAUCCUCCAGUGCAGUAAACUCAGAAGGGACAUCAUUCCCAGUGCCAACAUUCAACAUCAGAGCCUGCAAGCAGUAUUCACCCAUCUGAGACAGAGAGAGAUACAGGGGAAAAGGAGGGAGAGAGAAGAGAGAGAGAGUGAGAGGGGGAGGGGCCGCCCGGCAGGAUUCAGAGUCCAAGUGCACGUGCAGGGAGUGAUCUCCAGCAAAGAAAGAAAGACAUCGAAAGGCAGAGAGGUAUUCACCCAGGAAUGA